GGCCAGGGCCAGGGCCAGGGCCAGGGCUGGCUGGGAAAGCUCUAGGCUGAUGACUGCCAGACUGGGGCCCUGACACAAAGGGGCAGAGAAGGUGCUGGGGCUAUGGGGAAGUGGCCAAGGGAAGCAGGCAGUAGAGGAGAACUGGAGGUGGGCAGUAAGUGGCUGCCGUGAGAGUGUCCCUGGGUCAGGGCCCCUCACCCUUUUCCCCUGACUUGUCAGUGAUGAGAGUGGCUAAGCCAGACUGCAGUUUGACCUUGGAGAAAGGGGCUAGACUGAGGUCUGCAGUGAGCCAUUGAGGUGACUGAUAGAACCAGAAGCUGCUGGUCUCCUGGAAAGUGGGGAGAGCCAGCAGAGCGAGCACAGCUGGAGAAGCAGAUGCCAUCCGGGAGUGACAUGAGUCUGACAGUGAGGAUGGUGGAGACCGAGAAAAUAAUGUAGUGGUGCUUCACCCUUGUGAAGGCAUGCUGCUGAAAGAGCAAAUUCCCUAAGCAACCAGCAAGAGGUGCUGCUGUGAGAUGCUGCUUUUCCAGCGUACACAGGAGGUAUUAGCAGAGAAAACCAUGCUAUGAUCAACAGACCCACAAGAUAUUUCCUGAUUCUGAAAAUCAUUUGAGCCAUGACUGCAGCUGGACCAGAUCCCAGGAGUCCAGAGAGGCCAGCAAAUCGCCUUCCUCGGAGUAGCAACAUAACAGGAACAUCUGUUGACAUAAGGAGGGAGAAAAAAAUAAUGCCACAGUGGACACCUCUCUUUGCAUACAUGAACUCCCUAGACCUGAGGGCAGUGAUAUGUUUCCUAUUGUGAGCCUGUCAAUGGUUCUGUGCAGUCCUUUUUUUGGUGGCUCACUUUUGCUGAACAGGGUCUUCUCUGUUUAACUCAAAUUAGCCCAGUCUGUCAACUUAAUAUAAAACAAAUCAAUCAGCCCUUAAACUCCUGGUUUGCAGUCCUCCUUUGAUUCCAUUUUUAGUUCCCUAUAGGCAGCCUGGCAUGGGGCUAUUAUCCCAGGCCCUUCUGCCUCCCUUUACCUUCUGUUCUUCUUCCUUUAUUGCUUGGCUCAUUUUCCUUAUUGGUGUCAACUCUGGGUGUGUGUCUCUGUGACUGGCAGUUCUGGCAGCUGAGCCUGGGUGUGGUCAGCCUGGUUGCAUAUAAGUGGGGAAGACUCUCUUUCCGCCACAUAUGUUCUGUGUGAAGUUUGCAAACCCCAUUGCAGAGCCAUAUGGGAGACUGAGCAAAUGAGAUAUAUAUGCUGUGUCCUGAAUCACCAGUUUCAGAGCACUCAGGUCAACCUCUGGCCUUCCCUGCAGGGAUUAGGUGUGCAUGCUUGUUAAGAUUCCCAAGGUAUCAGAGGUAGCAGAUUAGGGCAGCUGGGGAAUGAGCAUGGGUUCAAUACAGAAGUGCCUUAGAAUCUUAAUAGGUGAGAGAGGAAAUGGAACUAGCAAAUAGCUGCAGUAGAUGGAAGCCCUCUCUCAGGGCUAGCUGUACUAUUUUUUUUUUUUUUUUGACACUCCAGACAAGGUCAGAUUCCCAAUCUGCUGGAGGGGAGAAUUUAGCUGAAAGGCCCCUUUUCUUCCCAUCACUCUGUUGGAAAAGGGAGAUCAGCUCAGCCCACGAGCUGCAAUUCCCCCAGAGUUUGCUUAGUUUAUUUUUGGAGACCAGCCUUAUCCUCUCCUGUAUCUUAGGAGUAUGAUGAGUCCAAGUAAAUAAGUUCCUUAAUAGAUUCUGUGGCACUCAGCACAGGAACAUGAGAUGUAACACCCUAGUAACUGAUGUGACCGGAGGAAUGGCUUUACCUAAGUUCUAUGCUUCUGUCUAUGAGAUGCUUUUAAUGACUCCUCUAGGGGUCCAAGAUUGAAGAUGGAGACAGACCUGAGGCAGGGGCCUCAGAAAAAAGCCUUAUAGUGACUAUUUGUUAGAGCUAGUCAAAUACUAAUCCUCAGUUACAUUUGAUUUUAGUCAU